ACUUCCAUUCGCGAUGACUGUUAAGCUAAGUGUAGGACAAGGCAUCCGGUAACGUGAAAUGCGUAGAAUUCGAGAACACAGUGGCGAGCGCUCUGCUGCAUACUGACGCUCAUGACGAAAGCAGGGAGCGAAAGGGAUUAGAAUACCCUGUAGUCUGCGUAAACGAUGAACACUAGGUGUCGGGGGAAUCGACCCCUCGGUGUCGUAGCCAACGCGUUAAGUGUUCCGCCUGGGGAGUACGCACGCAAGUGUGAAACUCAAAGGAAUUGACGGGGGCCCGCACAAGCGGUGGAGUAUGUGGUUUAAUUCGAUGCAACGCGAAGAACCUUACCAGGGUUUGACAUCCUGCGAAUUCCUUGGAAACUUGGAAGUGCCUUCGGGAGCGCAGAGACAGGUGGUGCAUGGCUGUCGUCAGCUCGUGUCGUGAGAUGUUGGGUUAAGUCCCGCAACGAACGCAACCCACGUCUUUAGUUGCCAGCAUUAAGUUGGGCACUCUAGAGAGACCGCCGGUGAUAAACCGGAGGAAGGUGUGGAUGACGUCAAGUCAUCAUGCCCCUUACAUCCUGGGCUACACACGUACUACAAUGCUACGGACAAAGGGCAGCAAACUCGCGAGAGCUAGCAAAUCCCAUAAACCGUGGCUCAGUUCAGAUCGUAGGCUGCAACUCGCCUACGUGAAGGAGGAAUCGCUAGUAAUCGCAGGUCAGCAUACUGCGGUGAAUACGUUCCCGGGCCUUGUACACACCGCCCGUCACACCAUGGAGGUUGGCCACGCCCGAAGUCGUUACUCCAACCCUUGUGGAGGAGGAUGCCGAAGGUGGGGCUGAUGACUGGGGUGAAGUCGUAACAAGGUAGCCGUACCGGAAGGUGCGGCUGGAUCACCUCCUAACAGGGAUACAAUAACUAAUUGUGAUGUCUGAGUAAUUUAUUCUCAGGCCAUGAUUCUGUCAUCUCUAAGGUCGAUCGGUGCCUCAAUUUGAGAAUUCAAGAAGAACUGAGAAAUCAGUUUGGAGAUGAAGGUCUUAAUUUCAGUUCCUAAACUUUGUCUAGGUCACCCCACAGCGGGUAAAGCCGAGAACACAUUUAAUUUAUUUAUUUGUGUUUGAUCUGGCAAGUCGAAAGGCGAGCUAGGUUGCGGCGAGAGCUCCUGGGCCAUUAGCUCAGGUGGUUAG
rnacentral:sRNA from 1 species